rnacentral:rRNA from 1 species
AUUGAACGCUGGCGGCAGGCCUAACACAUGCAAGUCGAGCGGAGCGGCGGACGGGUGAGUAAUAUAUCGGAACUUGCCCAGUAGCGGGGAUAACUACUCGAAAGAGUGGCUAAUACCGCAUCCUCUUGGCGCGGCCUCUAUCUGAUUAGCUAGUUGGUGGGGUAAAGGCUCACCAAGGCCACGAUCCUUAGCUGGGUUGUGAGGAAGACCAGCCACACUGGGACUGAGACACGGCCCAGACUCCUACGGGAGGCAGCAGUGGGGAAUUUUGGACAAUGGGGGAAACGCGGAUCCAGCCAUCCCGCGUGUAUGAUGAAGGCCUUCGGGUUGUAAAGUACUUUUGGCAGAGAAGCGGUAUCGGCAGAAUAAGCACCGGCUAACUACGUGCCAGCAGCCGCGGUAAUAC